rnacentral:lncRNA from 1 species
UAUUUUUCUCUUUUUUUUGCUUUGUUUUAGUCCUUGUCCAAAAUUAAUCCUUCUUGAGUUAAUUUUCAUCUUUUUGACUCAUAUUCCAACACUCAUGCAAGUAAGCACAUUUCAUCAGUUUUUGAAAAUACCUUUAACCAAUUUUGAGCUAAAAUAAAAGUAAAAGAGUGCAAAUAAGUAGUCAAAAUCCCUACUGACCAGUGCACCAGGUAGAUUCUAACACCUUAGUGUGAGUUCAACUAGACAUCAUGGCCAGAGAGAUAAAAAAGUUGACAUUGGC